rnacentral:tRNA from 1 species
GGGUGGCUAGCUCAGUGGUUAGAGCUAAGGUCUCGUAAUCGGAAGGCCUCGUGAUCGAAUCCCGCUAGAAGCA